UUUGGCAGAAAAAAGAGCAACCGCCUGUGAGAAGAGAGCUAAAGCCGUCUGAGUUGAGCGAUCGGUAGGCGCUCGGUUCCAUCCGGCGAGAUCAUCAAAGAGACAGGUGGUCUUGGUUCUAGCGAGACUGAAGGUAAAGCUGAAACGACGUGAGUGUGGGUGUGGGUUUUCGUCAGCGCCAGUUCGAGCGUGGGUGUUGCCGUCCGGUCUGGGAAGUUUGCCGAUCUGAGCAGGCGAAGGUUCGGUUUCGCCAUAGAGGCUGCUUCCGACAGCGGUGAGAGAGACGUGCAGGUCUACGCGUGGUUCGCCGAUCAGAGGCGGGUUGCACACUUGAUUUGGGCUAUUUUGCAGCAAGUUGUUCUCAGUUUUCAGAGACGACGUUGUGUGCGGGUCUCUCGGUAUCAGUAGAUAUUGAAAUUACAGAUUGGUGAUUUCAUUGAUUAUCUGUAAUUUGUAAAUUUCUUUAUUGCUCAUUAAUAAAAUAAUUCAAGCUAGUUCUCAAAUUGGAUGUAGACCAAACUGGUCGAACCACUAUAUAUCUUGGUGUUCUUUACUGCUUUAGAUUUAUUUCUACUGAUUGUUUUCGUUCUGUUUGGCCAUCUAAGUUAGGUUAAAAAACUCUCACAUACAUCUAACCAAAUAGUCGAAGAUCAACAAUCUUCAACAAAAUCUAAAGUUGGUUUAGAAGCUUCAUCAUCGUUUACGGGAGAAAUUAGAUCAGCUACUAGUCAUGAAAAUUACUUGAUAGAGAAUCUUCUUUUGGAGUAAGAAAAGUGCGUGGUCUCACACGUAAUCUCGAACUAGUUAAACUACCUCAUGGGUUUAGAUUUGAAGUAUCAUGGAAGAAGAAACGACUCGUUAAAGAUAAUGUUGAUAUCUUUAAAAGCUAAUGCACUAUCUUAGCUAGACAAGUCAAUUUUACUCCUUUACAAGUAAAAAGUUGGAGAGAUAUUGAUACAACAACAAAAAGGAAACUAUUUGAGCUUACAUUGGAACGAUGAAAAGUUGAAGGUCAUGAGGCUUCAGUAUUGCUUCAAAUUCACCGAUUUUAUAAUAAUUGGAGAGACAGUUUAAAGAAAAAAAUGGUUGUACAAAUAUGAUACUGGAGAAGCUUUAGUAAAUAUUCCACCAAGAAUUACAAGAGAAGAUACAGAAUAUCUUUUAAAGUUGUGGAAGUCAAUUGAAUAUCAGGUUGUAUUCUAAUAUUUUUUUUUCUUGUACAUAAAAAAAAUUGUACUUAUUGUUAAUUUUUUUUUUUAUUGAUGCU